UAGAGUUAUAAAACUCCAAAACCCAUGUGAACAUACCUCUGUUGCCUCGGUGGCCUACCCGGUAGUUACCCUGUAGUUACCCUGUAGUCCGCCGAAGGACCAUUAAACUCUUGUUAUUUAUGGAUAUCUGAGCGUUUUAAACAAAUAAGUUA
rnacentral:misc_RNA from 1 species